rnacentral:lncRNA from 1 species
NNNNNNNNNNNNNNNNNNNNNNNNNNNNNNNNNNNNNNNNNNNNNNNNNNNNNNNCGCGGCCGGGGCUGCGGCCGCGGCCGCCGAGGAGGAGGAGGAGGAGGAGGAAGGUGGAGGAGGAAGGUGGAGGAGAAGGUACUGGAGGGAUCACAGAGGGUUCUGCUGGUGGCUUUGGGGGUCUCAAGGGUUGCUGUGAUGGCCAUGAGGGUCCCAAGAGCUCCAGUGAUGGCCCAGGUGGUCCCAUGAGCUCAGGUGAUGGCCCAGGUGGUCCCACGAGCUCUGGUGAUGUCCCAGGUGGUCCCACAAGCUCCAGUGAUGGCCCAGAGGGUCCCACAAGCUCUAGUGGUAGCCCUGGGGGUCUCAAGACUUCCAGUGAUGGCCCAGAGGAUUCCAAGAGCUCCAGAGAUGUUCCCAGCAGUCCCAAGAUCUCCAGUGAGGUCUUUGAGACUCCCAAGAGCUUCAGCAACAUUCUAGAAGAUUCCAAGGGCAGCCAGAAGGGUACCCAGAGCUCCAGUGAUGUCCCCGAUGGACCCAGGGACAGCCAGGAUGGUCCCGAGAGCUUUAAGAACAUUGAGGAAGGUCUUGAGUGCUCCAGAGAUGUCCCCAGAGGUCACAAGAGCUCCAGGAAGGCCCAGAGGAGACCCCCCAGGGAUGCUGGAGGAGCCCCUGAGGGCUCCAAGGAUUUGGAGCCAGGUGGAGGUGGAGGAAGGAAGGUGGAGGAAGGCACCGACGCCCUGGAGAUGGACCAGAGACCCCACAGCCUCUGCUGGGGGGCUGGAGAAGACCCCAAAAAAGGACAGGGUGGCCCCAAAGAGGGACACGGCCCAGGAGAAGGACGAGAUGAGAGCAGAAAAGGACAAGGUGACCCCAAAGAGGGAUUUGAUGACCCCAAAGAGGAGCUGGGUGACCCAAGAGAAGGAGGAGAUGACCCUGGGACAAAUCGUGAUGACCUCAGGAAGGUUCCCAAUGACCUCAGAGAAAGACACGGCUUUGGAGAAGGCCACAACGACCCCAGGGAUGGCCGUGGUGACUUCAAGGAUGGCCGUGAUGACCCUAAGGAAGGAUGUGAUGACCCCAGACAUGGCCACCAUGACCCUGAGGACAGCCAUGACAACCUCAAACAUGGCCACCAUGACCCCAAGGACAGCCAUGAUGAUCUCAAACAUGGCCACCAUGACCCCAAGGACAGCCAUGGCGACACCAACCACGGCCACCACCACCUCAACGACGACCACCACACCCCCAAGACCACCCGCCACAACCCAACCACCCCCGAAGACCCUUGGGGCGGCCGUUGGGCUUGGGAAGACCCUUCAUCCUCCUCCUCCUCCUCCUCCUCCUCCUCCUGCUCGUGCUCCUCAGGUUCCUCCUCGGAUGAGGAGGUGACGGUGGAGGACGACGGGGCGCCGCUGCCACCUCCGGAAGAGCUGGGCCAGGGC